rnacentral:misc_RNA from 1 species
AAGUCGUAACAAGGUUUCCGUAGGUGAACCUGCGGAAGGAUCAUUAGAGAGAUGUGUGAGGGGCUGAGAGGCGCCGAGCAUAUUGAGAGGGUGUGGUUUUGAUGAGGUGGGUUGUAGUAGCGCAAUUCGUUGUGCUGCUACAUGCUCCUUUUCACUUUACAUUCACGAUCUUCAACCACGUAUUGAGCAAGUGAUUACGACACACAACUGUCACCGGUGGAUCUCUUGGCUCGU